UACAGAGGUCUCAAGCGUUGUUCGGAUUCAUUGGGCGUAAAGGGUGCGUAGGCGGCGCGGUAAGUCGGGUGUGAAGUCUCGGAGCUUAACUCCGAAACUGCAUUCGAUACUGCCGUGCUUGAGGACUGGAGAGGAGAAUGGAAUUCCCGGUGUAGCGGUGAAAUGCGCAGAUAUCGGGAAGAACACCCGUGGCGAAGGCGGUUCUCUGGGACGGUACUGACGCUGAGACGCGAAAGCGUGGGGAGCGAACGGG
rnacentral:rRNA from 1 species